rnacentral:rRNA from 1 species
GACGAACGCUGGCGGCGUGCUUAACACAUGCAAGUCGAACGGAAAGGCCUGCUUUCCCUUGUGGAUUGCGGGUACUCGGGUGGCGAACGGGUGAGUAACACGUGAGUGAUCUGCCCCCAACUUGGGUAUAAGCCUGGGAAACUGGGUCUAAUUCCCGAUAGGACUGCAGGGUGGUGCCUGUGGUGGAAAACGAUUUUCUAGUGGUUGGGGAUGAGCUCGCGGCCUAUCAGCUUGUUGGUGGGGUAAUGGCCUACCAAGGCGGCGACGGGUAGCCGGCCUGAGAGGGUGGACGGCCACAUUGGGACUGAGAGACGGCCCAGACUCCGACGGGAGGCAGCAGUGGGGAAUAUUGCACAAUGGGCGGAAGCCUGAUGCAGCGACGCCGCGUGGGGGAUGACGGACUUCGGGUUGUAAACUCCUUUCGACCGCGAGGAAGCCACCUGGUUGGAAGGGUGGUGACGGUAGUGGUAGAAGAAGCACCGGCUAACUACGUG